UCAUGGCUCAGGACGAACGCGGGCGGCGUGCUUAACACAUGCAAGUCGAACGGUGACCUGGGGAGCUUGCUUCCUGGUGAUCAGUGGCGAACGGGUGAGUAACACGUGAGUAACCUGCCCCUCACUCUGGGAUAACUCCGGGAAACCGGGGCUAAUACCGGAUAUGACACAGACAGGCAUCUGUACUGUGUGGAAAGUUUUUCGGUGGGGGAUGGACUCGCGGCCUAUCAGCUUGUUGGUGAGGUAGUGGCUCACCAAGGCGACGACGGGUAGCCGGCCUGAGAGGGCGACCGGCCACACUGGGACUGAGACACGGCCCAGACUCCUACGGGAGGCAGCAGUGGGGAAUAUUGCACAAUGGGCGAAAGCCUGAUGCAGCGACGCCGCGUGAGGGAUGAAGGCCUUCGGGUUGUAAACCUCUUUCAGUACCGAAGAAGCGCAAGUGACGGUAGGUACAGAAGAAGCACCGGCUAACUACGUGCCAGCAGCCGCGGUAAUACGUAGGGUGCGAGCGUUGUCCGGAAUUAUUGGGCGUAAAGAGCUUGUAGGCGGUUUGUCGCGUCUGCUGUGAAAUUUCGGGGCUUAACCCCGAACUUGCAGUGGGUACGGGCAGACUAGAGUGUGGUAGGGGAGACUGGAAUUCCUGGUGUAGCGGUGAAAUGCGCAGAUAUCAGGAGGAACACCGAUGGCGAAGGCAGGUCUCUGGGCCAUAACUGACGCUGAGAAGCGAAAGCAUGGGGAGCGAACAGGAUUAGAUACCCUGGUAGUCCAUGCCGUAAACGUUGGGAACUAGGUGUGGGUCUCAUUCCACGAGAUCCGUGCCGCAGCUAACGCAUUAAGUUCCCCGCCUGGGGAGUACGGCCCGCAGGCUAAAACU
rnacentral:rRNA from 1 species